rnacentral:rRNA from 1 species
CACGUAGUUAGCCGGUGCUUAUUCUUACGGUACCGUCAUUAGCCUUCUUUAUUAGAAAAGACCGUUUCGUUCCGUACAAAAGCAGUUUACAACCCGAAGGCCUUCAUCCUGCACGCGGCAUGGCUGGAUCAGGCUUUCGCCCAUUGUCCAAAAUUCCCCACUGCUGCCUCCCGUAGGAGUCUGGGCCGUGUCUCAGUCCCAGUGUGGCUGGUCGUCCUCUCAGACCAGCUACAGAUCGAAGGCUUGGUGAGCCUUUACCUCACCAACUACCUAAUCUGCCAUCGGCCGCUCCAUUCGCGCAAGGUCUUGCGAUCCCCUGCUUUCAUCCGUAGAUCGUAUGCGGUAUUAGCACAGCUUUCGCUGCGUUAUCCCCCACGAUUGGGCACGUUCCGAUGUAUUACUCACCCGUUCGCCACUCGCCGCCAGGAUUGCUCCCGCGCUGCCGUUCGACUUGCAUGUGUAAGGCAUGCCGCCAGCGUUCAAUCUGAGCCA